rnacentral:misc_RNA from 1 species
AAGUCGUAACAAGGUUUCCGUAGGUGAACCUGCGGAAGGAUCAUUAACACGUAUCCAACGUUAAACCCCCCGUGAACCUUUAUUGCGAACCACGCCUUUGUUAGAAAGUAGCAAUCCCUGUUCAGUGGAUCUCUGCGAAGAGAGCGGUUGUAGCGCGAGGUAAGUGGCCUGGCAUCCCUCUGCUUGUUAGUGUCUGAAAGUGUCACUAGCUCUGUACGGAUGGCGCAGUCACGAUCGCUGGAGGCCGACACGGCCGGCGACCGGGUCACCGGGCAUAGACCCCCCUAUCACCCCUUUGCAUGAAAACGGGCCUGCGCUUAAUUGUGCGGCCACCAAACUCGAACAACUGUUAACAAUGGAUAUCUUGGUUCUC